CCCUCACAGGACGAGAAGUGGCAGUGACGAUUUAUUGGAUUAACGGUCAGCAGUGGUCCUGACGGGUCUUCCCACCUUCAGGUUCUCACUUUCCAUUCAUCACUCACAGCACCGUCCACAUAAACUUCAAAGAUGCACUUAGGACUAGUCCACCACCUGCUUCACACCCGUCUCUGCCUUGCUGUCACCAUCAGAUUCCUUCAAGGUCUGUCCUGAUCCACCGGAGGAAGAGACUGCCUUAAAGAGCUGCUGACCCUUUGGUCUGGCUCUGAAAUGAAUACGGUGGGGACAGUCCAGAGCCCAACACGACUGACUGGCACCCCGCAGCACGGAUGACCAACUGAGCCCAGCCCCAACCAGCCUGCCAACAUGAGAACAAAUAUUCGUGGUCAAAAGCCAGUGGUUUAUUCAACAGCAUUCUGUUGGCAAUAGAUGAAGAAUAUUUAUUUUUUA